AAACGUGUCUUCUUAGAAUCAUUCCUGCUCCUAUGAGUAUUCAUUAUGUCCAUUUCUUUUUCUGAAAAACAUAUUUUGAACCACAAAACAUGGUGCCUAUGGCUUGGAUCCAAGAGUCUCAAAAUGCGCUAAAGGCUCAGACUGGGGGCUCGACUCUUCCAGCUUUUACUCCUACUGGCUUGUAACCCUGGAAGGGUGGAUUAACCUCUCUGAGCCACAAACACGAAAAGAUGAGAUUGGUCUAAAAUCUCUUCCAGCAUCAAGGCUUCUGCUCCUUGAGUGUCAUAUAAGUCAGGGCCGGGUUCUCUCUGUUGCAAAUGAUGACCUUAAAGCUAAUGGAUGUAAUUAUCUUGGCACACAAAGAAUCCUUAAAUCUCAGUUGGCCAAACACCGGAACAACCAGUUUUUAAAAACGCCUCGAUAAGAUUAUGUUGGUUCAAGGGAUACAGAGCCAGGCUGUGCUUUUCAGGUCGACCACCUCCCUCAGGGCCAAGUCCGGACAUUUUUGGUUUUCACAGCCGGUGGGGGUGGGGCGGAGGUGCCAUGGGCAUCUAGUGGGUUGGGGCCGGAGAUGAUGCUACACGCCCUACGAUGAUGCAUUGGGCGGAGCUCUCAACAGAGAAGUGUCAGCCAUGGGGGGGCCGGGGGAGAAAGUGCCCCAGUUACAAACUGAAACCCUGCAGAGAGGCCCCCAAACUAGUCGGUCCAGUUCCAUCUCUUGGGUUGGUACCAGAUGGUAUUCAGGUGACCUGGAGGGUCAAGUGCAACUUUGAGAAAUGCUUAAUUCAUAUCCACAGAGUGAUUAAUACCCUUGAUCUUUCACCUCGGUUAUUAUCUUAGAAACAAAUGUACAGGCUCAAAAUUCGCCCUCCCUUCCCCCACCCUCCAAACACAGCACAAUGUGAUACACAGAUCAAAUACAUAGGCAUAUAACGGAAAAUGGAAUUUAGUGUUUUCAAAAUGUCGCGUAGAAUGUUGUAAGGUAGGCAGAUUCAAAAAGCCACACACUGAGAUGGGACAUUUGCAAAAUCGCCAAACGACGAAAACCUGGUUUCCAGUUUCCCUCCCUGGGAACUGCCCUGUCUGAUGCAGAGACAAGGAUGUGAGACUUCGGAUCAGCUGACCAGAAACCAUCAACGGCAAUUAGGAAAUACACUCCCGAUUCUGAGGUCUUUCUCUCUUGUUAAAGUCACUGAACCAAAGUCAUCGUGAAGGAGCCAGGUCCCAAGGCUCUCCAGCUCACCAUGGACUGAGGGCCACCGAUAACCAGACAAUCACUUCUUCUCACGACGCCGUCUGCUCAGUAAGACCAGGGCAGAGCCACUCUGGUCUUAAUAAUUACUUGGUAGGCGUGAGGCAUGUUACAAGCAAGGUCUGAGUCAUUCUGCACAAGAGUCACCCAGCACGAGGACCACAGGACGCCCAUACGUCACACCUGGGCCGUGGUCACACCUGGCGUGGGGCAGGGUGGCCUGGCACCACAUCCAAACCCGAGCCCAGCUGGCAAACCUGUUUAGUGUAAGUCAUCUGAAGGUAAAGAGAGGCAGCAAGACUUAGGACGAAGCCUUCAGUGGGUCCAACAGGAGAUGGUCUCGCCUUCACCAGGGAGAAGAUGCCAUCGAUGAACCUGGAAGGGGGUCUGUCUGUCCUCACCAGACACGGGAUCUGGACGUCCAGCCUCCAGAAUGGAGAGCUUUGGCGCUCACAGGUCACGGCUGCACUUCGCUCCCUGUGCCGGGGUGUCAGAGGUCCCCGCCGCCGGCCCGGCCCCCGUCUCCGCACCUUCUCCCGUGACGUGACCCCUCCCCUGUGCCACAACCAUCCCUACGACUCUCCAUCUUCCCGAACUGCCUUUCUGCCCCAGUGAAACACUCACGCCCACGCCUCUCCCCGCCAGCCCCUGGCAAACCCAGGAUUUUCGAGUAUUUCUGCGCAGCUCAUGUCUGUGACCAAACUGCUGGGGCGCCAGCCCUCCACACGCCCCCGGCCGGAAGCGCCAGCACAAGCACUGAGUGAGGCUUCUCCGCCCCCGCGUGCCGCCCCGGACCCCAGGGUGGGCGGAGCUGGGCGCACCCCAGGCGGGGAGGGACAGGCUGCAGGGACGCAGGGACCAUACCCAGCGCCCGCUCAGCUGGGGGGAAUGGGGUGGGAGGGGGAGGGGGAAGGAGGAGAAGGGAAGCAUAGUUAACUGGGACCCCCCUCUUGCCCUGCCUCCCCCCUCAAGUACCUUCUGGCGCCUGAUACGUUUCUCCCUGCCUUUGGUGUCCUGCGGUCUGACUGAGGUCACCCAGGUGCGACUUGUAUUUACCCGUC